AUGUGGUUUAAUUCGAAGCAACGCGAAGAACCUUACCAGGUCUUGACAUCCCGAUGCUAUUUCUAGAGAUAGAAAGUUACUUCGGUACAUCGGUGACAGGUGGUGCAUGGUUGUCGUCAGCUCGUGUCGUGAGAUGUUGGGUUAAGUCCCGCAACGAGCGCAACCCCUAUUGUUAGUUGCCAUCAUUCAGUUGGGCACUCUAGCGAGACUGCCGGUAAUAAACCGGAGGAAGGUGGGGAUGACGUCAAAUCAUCAUGCCCCUUAUGACCUGGGCUACACACGUGCUACAAGGGUUGGUACAACGAGUUGCGAGUCGGUGACGGCGAGCUAAUCUCUUAAAGCCAACCUCAGUUCGGAUUGUAGGCUGCAACUCGCCUACAUGAAGUCGGAGUCGCUAGUAAUCGCGGAUCAGCACGCCGCGGUGAAUACGUUCCCGGGCCUU
rnacentral:rRNA from 1 species